GACGUAGGGUGCGAGCGUUGUCCGGAUUUAUUGGGCGUAAAGAGCUCGUAGGCGGUUUGUUGCGUCGGCCGUGAAAACCUGCAGCUUAACUGUGGGCCUGCGGCCGAUACGGGCAGACUUGAGUUCGGUAGGGGAGACUGGAAUUCCUGGUGUAGCGGUGAAAUGCGCAGAUAUCAGGAGGAACACCGGUGGCGAAGGCGGGUCUCUGGGCCGAUACUGACGCUGAGGAGCGAAAGCGUGGGGAGCGAACAGG
rnacentral:rRNA from 1 species